rnacentral:rRNA from 1 species
GAUGAACGCUGGCGGCGUGCCUAAUACAUGCAAGUCGAGCGAACAGACGAGGAGCUUGCUCCUCUGACGUUAGCGGCGGACGGGUGAGUAACACGUGGAUAACCUACCUAUAAGACUGGGAUAACUUCGGGAAACCGGAGCUAAUACCGGAUAACAUGUUGAACCGCAUGGUUCAACAGUGAAAGACGGUCUUGCUGUCACUUAUAGAUGGAUCCGCGCCGCAUUAGCUAGUUGGUAAGGUAACGGCUUACCAAGGCAACGAGGCGUAGCCGACCUGAGAGGGUGAUCGGCCACACGGGAAGUGGGACACGGUCCAGACUCCUACGGGAGGCAGCAGUAGGGAAUCUUCCGCAAUGGGCGAAAGCAUGACGGAGCAACGCCGCGUGAGUGAAGAAGGUCUUCGGAUCGUAAAACUCUGUUAUUAGGGAAGAACAAAUGUGUAAGUAACUAUGCACGUCUUGACGGUACCUAAUCAGAAAGCCACGGCUAACUACGUG